UACGAAGGGGGCUAGCGUUGUUCGGAAUUACUGGGCGUAAAGCGCACGUAGGCGGACAUUUUAAGUUGGAGGUGAAAGCCUUGGGCUCAACCCAAGAAUUGCCUUUGAUACUGGAUGUCUCGAGACCGGGAGAGGUGAGUGGAAUUCCGAGUGUAGAGGUGAAAUUCGUAGAUAUUCGGAAGAACACCAGUGGCGAAGGCGGCUCACUGGCCCGGUUCUGACGCUGAGGCACGAAAGCGUGGGGAGCAAACAGG
rnacentral:rRNA from 1 species